rnacentral:rRNA from 1 species
UAUUUUUUAUUUAUAUAUAUAUUAGUAUGCAUACUAUGUUAGGAUAUUUUCAAAGAUUUUGAUAAAUAGAAACAAAGUGUUUAAGGUGUAGUUUUUUUUUUUGUUACAAAAAUAAUUUUACUACUCUUAGUGUUGAUACAUCGAACUUUGUGAUAUCUGUUUUUAAUUUUUAUAUUAGAAAAUUAUAUAUUGUUUUUUUUUUUUCGUAGUUUUAAUAAUUUGAAGUUUUUUUGUUUUAAGUUUUAUAACUUUACUACUUUUUUUUUUUUUUUUUUUUUUUAACUAUAAUUCUUUAUAGUUUUUAUUAUCUAACAAUUAGUAAAUUAAUAAAUUAUGUUUUUCUUUUUAAUAUAAAUGAAUUACUAGUUAUCUGGUCAAAUGUUUAUUAAAGACUUAGGAUUUAUAUUAAAUCUGUCUUCUGCCCUAUGGUUUUUUUCCAAUGGCAGUCUUAGCGUGAAAUCACUAGUGAAUUCGCGGCCGCCUGCAGGUCGACCAUAUGGGAGAGCUCCCCGAGUAUGAAUGAAGUUUUGGCUGGUGAUAUUUUUUUUUUUUUUUGAAUUUAAUAUACAUCUAAAAAGAAAUGUUUAUAAUAAAACAAAGAUAAGUCUUCGGAAAUUUUAUUUCUAUUAAAAAUUUUUUUUUUUAGUAAUUUAUCUAGGGAAGAUUAUUAUAUAAUUUUUUUUUACUAUUUUUAAUUUAAAAAAUUACUCCGGAGUUAACAGAAAAACAUGCCUUAUGUAGUUCUUAUAUUUUGGUAAGUUUUACAUCGAUGUUGUAUCUUUAUUAGCUGAAGAGGAGAAAUUUCAGUUUUUUAGACUGUUCUUCUAUUAAUAAAUAAAACGUGAUAUUAGUUUAAUUCAUCGCGAGAUAGAAUUGUUUAUCUUGUUUAUUAUUUUUUUUUAUCGGGAUUAGUACGAAAGGAAUUUCACUAUAAUUUUAAAUUUUUUGAU